rnacentral:rRNA from 2 species
GACGUAGGGCGCAAGCGUUGUCCGGAUUUAUUGGGCGUAAAGAGCUCGUAGGCGGCCUGUCGCGUCGAUCGUGAAAGUCCACGGCUCAACUGUGGGAUUGCGGUCGAUACGGGCAGGCUAGAGUGCGGCAGGGGAGACUGGAAUUCCUGGUGUAGCGGUGAAAUGCGCAGAUAUCAGGAGGAACACCGGUGGCGAAGGCGGGUCUCUGGGCCGUUACUGACGCUGAGGAGCGAAAGCGUGGGGAGCGAACAGG